UCCCGCCUCUGGGAGAUGUAGGG
rnacentral:siRNA from 1 species